AGCAUCUAAGCAUGAAGCCCCCCUCAAGAUGAGAUUUCCCAUAGCGUUAAGCUAGUAAGAUCCCUGAAAGAUGAUCAGGUUGAUAGGUUCGAGGUGGAAGCGUGGUGACACGUGGAGCUGACGAAUACUAAUAGAUCGAGGACUUAAUCAA
rnacentral:rRNA from 1 species